rnacentral:tRNA from 1 species
GGCUCCAUAGUGUAGUGGUUAACACAUCUGCUUUACACACAGAAGGUCCUGGGUUUGCGCCUCAGGUGGAGCCA